UAUCUAGAAGGAUCGAUUGACCUUCUGAAUUUUCUCUCUCUGAACUUUCAUCUCUCGGUAUUCUUUAGCGUUGAUUUCAUGGCUUCCGCCAUGGUUGACUGUUGGUGAGACCUUCACAUGGUAUCAGAGCCUUGGAUCGACUCUUCGUGGUCUUUUUUCCGACUCUACCCUCAUUGGUUGUCUCUCAAAAUUCCAUAUUUUUCAACAAUCCUUGAUAUGACGGGUUACUCGAGCUGUAUUUUUUUGGUGCAUAGUUUUGUUUGCAUUCACUGGAGUGAUUUUGCUUGCAAACUAGGUUACUGCUCAAGCGCCUUUCCACCAGAGCUUUACGGUGCUUUAUCGAUUUUGUUGCUUAAGGUCUUUACUUCUUCUGGUGAAGAAGAUUGGGCGCUUCUCUGAAGAGGCCACUGGCAAUUGGUAAAGCUGUUGGGAGGUUGUACUAUUUUCAACCAGAUGCUGACUUAUUUCAAAACUUAUUUAGUACUUCUAUAAUACUUGUACCUGGUUCCAAUGAAGCUCCAUUCCCUGUUUUUUGUUCCAAUUUACAUUCUGCUAGCAGUAAUAUUCCUAAUUCUUAUUCUUUUACAUGUCUGGUUUUCACUCUUCUAUUAACUCAUUGAAUUACAUGCCUACUUGUACUACUUCUGGUUUAAACAAAUUGGAUAUAUACUGGCAUCAAAGAUUAGGGCAUAUGCCCUUUAGCAAGAUGAGAUAUAUUUCCUC